rnacentral:rRNA from 1 species
AAACUUUCAACCACGGGUCUCUUGGUUCUGGCAUCGAUGAAGAACGCCGCGAAAUGCGCUAAGUAAUUUUAAUUGCAGAAUUCAGUGAUUUUUCGAAUCUUUGAACGCACCUUGCGCCCCUUGGUAUUCCGAGGGGCAUGCCUGUUCGAGCGUCAUUU